GCACAAGCGGUGGAGCAUGUGGUUUAAUUCGAAGCAACGCGAAGAACCUUACCAGGUCUUGACAUCCCCUGGACAACCCAAGAGAUUGGGCGUUCCCCUUCGGGGGGACAGGGUGACAGGUGGUGCAUGGUUGUCGCCAGCUCGUGUCGUGAGACGUUGGGUUAAGUCCCGCAACCGAGCGCAACCCUUAUCCCUAGUUGCCAUCAGGUAAAGCUGGGGAACUCUGGGGAGACUGCCGGUGAUAAACCGGAGGAAGGCGGGGAUGACGUCAAGUCCUCAUGGCCCUUACAUCCCGGGCUACACACGUGCUACAAUGGCAGGUACAGAGGGCUGCGAAGCCGCGAGGUGGAGCGAAUCCCAGAAAACCUGUCUCAGUCCGGAUUGAAGUCUGCAACUCGACUUCAUGAAGGCGGAAUCGCUAGUAACCGCGAAUCAGCAGGUCGCGGUGAAUACGUUCCCGGGCCUU
rnacentral:rRNA from 1 species